rnacentral:tRNA from 8 species
GGAGGAGUGCGUGAGUGGUUAAAACGGACGGACUGUAAAUCCGUUGACUUAGUCUACGUUGGUUCGAAUCCAACCUCCUCCACCA